rnacentral:piRNA from 1 species
UACCUGAACAGCCUGUAUGGAGGUGGCC